rnacentral:rRNA from 1 species
UACGGGGGGAGCAAGCGUUGUUCGGAUUUACUGGGCGUAAAGGGCGCGUAGGCGGCGUGACAAGUCACUUGUGAAAUCUCCGGGCUUAACCCGGAGCGGCCAAGUGAUACUGUCGUGCUAGAGUGCGGAAGGGGCUACUGGAAUCCUCGGUGUAGCGGUGAAAUGCGUAGAUAUCUGGAGGAACACCGGUGGCGAAGGCGGCAUCCUGGACCGACACUGACACUGAGGAGCGAAAGCCAGGGGAGCAAACGGG